GAUGAACGCUGGCGGCGUGCCUAAUACAUGCAAGUCGAGCGAACAGACGAGGAGCUUGCUCCUCUGACGUUAGCGGCGGACGGGUGAGUAACACGUGGAUAACCUACCUAUAAGACUGGGAUAACUUCGGGAAACCGGAGCUAAUACCGGAUAAUAUAUUGAACCGCAUGGUUCAAUAGUGAAAGACGGUUUUGCUGUCACUUAUAGAUGGAUCCGCGCCGCAUUAGCUAGUUGGUAAGGUAACGGCUUACCAAGGCAACGAUGCGUAGCCGACCUGAGAGGGUGAUCGGCCACACUGGAACUGAGGCACGGUCCAGACUCCUACGGGAGGCAGCAGUAGAGAAUCUUCCGCAAUGGGCGAAAGCCUGACGGAGCAACGCCGCGUGAGUGAUGAAGGUCUUCGGAUCGUAAAACUCUGUUAUUAGGGAAGAACAAAUGUGUAAGUAACUAUGCACGUCUUGACGGUACCUAAUCAGAAAGCCACGGCUAACUACGUG
rnacentral:rRNA from 1 species